GAGCGGACAGAUGGGAGCUUGCUCCCUGAUGUUAGCGGCGGACGGGUGAGUAACACGUGGGUAACCUGCCUGUAAGACUGGGAUAACUCCGGGAAACCGGGGCUAAUACCGGAUGCUUGUUUGAACCGCAUGGUUCAAAAAAGGUGGCUUCGGCUACCACUUACAGAUGGACCCGCCAUUAGCUAGUUGGUAGGUAACGGCUCACCAAGGCAACGAUGCGUAGCCGACCUGGUGAUCGGCCACACUGGGACUGAGACACGGCCCAGACUCCUACGGGAGGCAGCAGUAGGGAAUCUUCCGCAGAAAGUCUGACGGAGCAACGCCGCGUGAGUGAUGAAGGUUUUCGGAUCGUCUGUUGUUAGGGAAGAACAAGUACCGUUCGAAUAGGGCGGUACCUUGACCUAACCAGAAAGCCACGGCUAACUACGUGCCAGCAGCCGCGGUAAUACGUAGGUGGCAAGCGUUGUCCGGAAUUAUUGGGCGUAAAGGGCUCGCUUCUUAAGUCUGAUGUGAAAGCAACCGGGGAGGGUCAUUGGAAACUGGGGAACUUGAGUGCAGAAGAGGAGAGUGGAAUUCCACGUGUAGCGGUGAAAUGCGUAGAGAUGUGGAGGAACACCAGUGGCGAAGGCGACUCUCUGGUCUGUAACUGACGCGCGUGGGGAGCGAACAGAUAGUAGUCCACGCCGUAAACGAUGAGUGCUAAGUGUUAGGGGUUUCCGCCCCUUAGUGCUGCAGCUAACGCAUUAAGCACUCCGCCUGGGGAGUACGGUCGCAAGAAAGGAAUUGACGGGGCCCCGGUG
rnacentral:rRNA from 1 species